CUCUCUUGCUUCCAGCAGGAGUUAGAAUCUAACAUUUCUUUACAAUGGCCUCUCUAACUUCUUGGACUCAAGGAUAUCUGUACGUGCAAGAUACAAUAAUCAGUGGAUACACAUUGUUAGGUUCCGGCGGAGUCAGCGGGCAAGGGGAGAGCAGCUGAAAGAACACUCAAGAGACCACAGGUAGGUGGGACAUGGCUUUAUGCAGCAGCUCACUCACACUGUCGGUGCUGCAUUUA
rnacentral:lncRNA from 1 species